rnacentral:rRNA from 1 species
GGAANUACUGGGCGUAAAGCGAGCGCAGACGGUUACUUAAGCAGGAUGUGAANUCCCCGGGCUCAACCUGGGAACUGCGUUNUGAACUGGGUGGCUAGAGUAUGUCAGAGGGGGGUAGAAUUCCACGUGUAGCAGUGAAAUGCGUAGAGACGUGGAGGAAUNCCGAUGGCGAAGGCAGCCCCCUGGGAUAAUACUGACGUUCAUGCUCGAAAGCGUGGGUAGCAAACAGGAUUAGAUACCCUGGUAGUCCACGCCCUAAACGAUGUCGAUUAGCUGUUGGGCAGCCUGACUGCUUAGUAGCGUAGCUAACGCGUGAAAUCGACCGCCUGGGGAGUACGGUCGCAAGAUUAAAACUCAAAGGAAUUGACGGGGACCCGCACAAGCGGUGGAUGAUGUGGAUUAAUUCGAUGCAACGCGAAGAACCUUACCUGGUCUUGACAUGUACGGAACCUUCCAGAGACGGAAGGGUGCCUUCGGGAACCGUAACACAGGUGCUGCAUGGCUGUCGUCAGCUCGUGUCGUGAGAUGUUGGGUUAAGUCCCGCAACGAGCGCAACCCUUGUCAUUAGUUGCCAUCAUUUAGUUGGGCACUCUAAUGAGACUGCCGGUGACAAACCGGAGGAAGGUGGGGAUGACGUCAAGUCCUCAUGGCCCUUAUGACCAGGGCUUCACACGUCAUACAAUGGUCGGUACAAAGGGUAGCCAAGCCGCGAGGCGGAGCCAAUCUCAUAAAACCGAUCGUAGUCCGGAUUGCACUCUGCAACUCGAGUGCAUGAAGUCGGAAUCGCUAGUAAUCGCAGGUCAGCAUACUGCGGUGAAUACGUUCCCGGGUCUUGUACACACCGCCCGUCACACCAUGGGAGUGGGGGAUACCAGAAGUAGGUAGGGUAACCGCAAGGAGCCCGC